GGACCCGCACAAGCGGUGGAGUAUGUGGCUUAAUUCGAUGCAACGCGAAGAACCUUACCUAGGCUUGACAUGCUUGUCGUACUCUCCCGAAAAGGAGAGGUCACUUCGGGUGGACAAUGCACAGGUGCUGCAUGGCCGUCGUCAGCUCGUGUCGUGAGAUGUUUGGUUAAGUCCAGCAACGAGCGCAACCCCUGUGAACUGUUGCCAGCGCGUAAAGGCGGGGACUCUGUUCAGACUGCCCAGAUCAACUGGGAGGAAGGUGGGGACGACGUCAGGUCAGUAUGGCCCUUACGCCUAGGGCUGCACACGUACUACAAUGCCCAGCACAAUGAGAACCGAGACCGCAAGGUGGAGGAAAUCUGCAAAACUGGGCCCAGUUCGGAUUGGAGGCUGCAACUCGCCUCCAUGAAGUCGGAAUCGCUAGUAAUGCCGUAU
rnacentral:rRNA from 1 species